AUUGAACGCUGGCGGCAGGCCUAACACAUGCAAGUCGAGCGGAUGACGGGAGCUUGCGCCUUGAUUCAGCGGCGGACGGGUGAGUAAUACCUAGGAAUGUGCCUGAUAGUGGGGGACAACGUUGCGAAAGAAACGCUAAUACUGAAUACGUCCUACGGGAGAAAGCAGGGGACCUUCGGGCCUUGCCAUACCAGAUGAGCCUAGUUCGGAUUAGCUAGUUGGUGAGGUAAUGGCUCACCAAGGCGACGAUCCGUAACUGGUCUGAGAGGAUGAUCAGUCACACUGGAACUGAGACACGGUCCAGACUCCUACGGGAGGCAGCAGUGGGGAAUAUUGGACAAUGGGCGAAAGCCUGAUCCAGCCAUGCCGCGUGUGUGAAGAAGGUCUUCGGAUUGUAAAGCACUUUAAGUUGGGAGGAAGGGCAGUAAGCUAAUACCUUGCUGUUUUGACGUUACCGACAGAAUAAGCACCGGCUAACUCUGUGCCAGCAGCCGCGGUAACAC
rnacentral:rRNA from 1 species